rnacentral:rRNA from 1 species
UCGAGGAUCUUCGGCAAUGGGCGAAAGCCUGACCGAGCGACGCCGCGUGUGCGAUGAAGGCCUUCGGGUUGUAAAGCACUGUCGUGGGGGAGAAAAGGGGCAACCCUUGAUCGACCCCAGGAGGAAGCUCGGGCUAAGUUCGUGCCAGCAGCCGCGGUAAGACGAACCGAGCGAACGUUGUUCGGAAUCACUGGGCUUAAAGGGCGCGUAGGCGGGCCAUCAAGUCAAGGGUGAAAGCCCCCGGCUCAACCGGGGAAGUGCCUCUGAUACUGGUGGUCUCGAGGGAGAUAGGGGCGUGCGGAACUUCCGGUGGAGCGGUGAAAUGCGUAGAUAUCGGAAGGAACACCGGUGGCGAAAGCGGCGCGCUGGAUCUCUUCUGACGCUGAGGCGCGAAAGCCAGGGGAGCGAACGGGAUUAGAUACCCGCGUAGUCC